rnacentral:pre_miRNA from 1 species
CCCCCGUCCCAUUUUAAGUGUGUUCAAUGUUUGUUCGUCCGUCUUAUUUAAAAUAAUUUUCUGAUUAGUAUUUUUAUCGUUGUUAGAUGAUAAAAAUAAAUAGUACUUUAUGUGUGACUUAUUUUUUUAUAUUUUUUUUAAAUAAUACAAAUGGUCAAACGUUGGACACAGAAAAAACACAUGGG